AUGCCGGAAGCCGCCACUCAAGAGGGAGAGGCGUCGGGGUCCGGAUCAACCCGCGCGCUCCGCCGCAGCCUGAGGUUCACCGCUGCAGCAAGGGCCACGGCGACGACCCGGUCGAUGGCCCUGGUGCGUGCGCAGCAGUCCCCGGGGUCCCAAUCCCCACAGGAACCAUCCGUGCGUUCCAAUACAAGGAAGAGAAAGAAGGGGCCGGCUGCCAACCAGAAAUCGAAGAAACGGAAGAGGAGGAGGAGGACAGCUCUCCAAUUCGCGAGCCACAUAUACCGGAUGAGAUGUAUCGACUUGAUGAUCUGGAUACGUCCAAAGUCAUUCAGAAGGCACUAG
rnacentral:rRNA from 1 species